UAGGGAAUAUUGGACAAUGGGGGGAACCCUGAUCCAGCCAUGCCGCGUGAGGGAAGAAGGUCCUCUGGAUUGUAAACCUCUUUUGGCGGGGGACAAACCUGCGCUAUACGCGCAGCUGAGGGUACCCGCAGAAUAAGCACCGGCUAACUCCGUGCCAGCAGCCGCGGUAAUACGGAGGGUGCAAGCGUUGUCCGGAUUCAUUGGGUUUAAAGGGUGCGUAGGCGGCCUGGUAAGUCAGCGGUGAAAUACCCCCGCUCAACGGGGGAACUGCCGUUGAUACUGCCGGGCUUGAGUUCGUGCGAGGUUGCUGGAAUGCGUGGUGUAGCGGUGAAAUGCAUAGAUAUCACGCAGAACACCGAUUGCGAAGGCAGGUGACUGGCACGCGACUGACGCUGAGGCACGAAAGUGUGGGGAGCAAACAG
rnacentral:rRNA from 1 species